rnacentral:rRNA from 1 species
GUGCCAGCAGGCCGCGGGCAUCAUUUCCGAGGCCGCCCACGAGGACGCCAAGAUCUUUUUCGGUACGGUGUUCGACGAGGACGCCGGGGACGAGAUGCGCAUCACGGUGAUCGCCACGGGCAUCGGGGAAAGCGGGAAUGGCCGCGCCAGCGAGGAGGGCACCCGCGUCAUCGACAUGGGCGGCGCCCGCGGGAACAUGGCCUAUCCUUCCAUUGCCGGAACGGCCCAACGCAGGCCGUACGUCCCCUGUCACGGGGAGGACAGGAGCAUCCCGGCCUAUCUGCGCAAAGGCGGCAAACCCGAGCCCCUUGUGCCGCCGCAGUCCCAGAACAAGGCGCUCAAGGCCGCGGCCUGCUGGCAC